rnacentral:rRNA from 1 species
UACGUAGGUGGCAAGCGUUGUCCGGAAUUAUUGGGCGUAAAGCGCGCGCAGGCGGUCCUUUAAGUCUGAUGUGAAAGCCCACGGCUCAACCGUGGAGGGUCAUUGGAAACUGGGGGGACUUGAGUACAGAAGAGAAGAGUGGAAUUCCACGUGUAGCGGUGAAAUGCGUAGAGAUGUGGAGGAACACCAGUGGCGAAGGCGACUCUUUGGUCUGUAACUGACGCUCAUGCACGAAAGCGUGGGGAGCAAACAGG